UGUGGCUCAGUGGUAGAGCACUUGCCUGGUAAGUGUGAGGCACUGGGUUUGAUCCUAGCA
rnacentral:tRNA from 1 species